AAAGAACCUUACAACUUUGGAAUGUCCAUGUUGGGUCGCAUAGCUUUACUCUCAUUCCUCCAUUUGGGUGAGACAGCAUCUGCAUCUGCCAUUCCCUCAGAAAAUCUAAUAACCAGCUGCCAUGUCCACAGCAGGAGGAUUGGGAUGGAACUCCUGAAGCAAGCAAUACUGAAAGAGACCUUCCCAAGCUGGACUGGGCAGGAGAGUUUCUCAUUUGUUAAGGUCAACUACAAAAUUUCGGGGUUCAGAAUUAAUGCUGUAGAUUUCCCAGAAACUUCUGCAUCCUUUAUUCCUGGCACUGGCAUUAGUCUGUCAGUGGCACGUGCUUCUGCUACUAUUAGUGCAGACUGGAGAAUGAAAGCAUGGCUGCU
rnacentral:lncRNA from 1 species